GCCCCAAGCUAUAUCUGUCACUUUGGCUUAGAACAGAUGGGACCCAGGGCAAAAUUUCACUCAACCAGCUGGGUUGUAUGGACAUCUCUUGCUCAGCUUGCUUUUAGGUCAGUGCCACGCACACCAGGAUAUGUGGAAUGUGAUGCUCGUGUACUGUGUUAACUUGAAGUUGAGGAAGUUAGGAUUUGCCUUUGCAAACUGGUAAGACAGAAGCAAUGUCUGAAGGAUUUCUAGAAGCCUGGUCCAGGCCUUAAACAUUUCAUGACUCAGAUCAUCUAUGGCCGCUGAUUUCCAAGUUCUUCCUACAAGAACACAGGGUCUUGUUCCUUAAAAUGACCCGAAGAAGGUUGCAAAACACUCGCAUCAGAAACCACUUUAUUUUUAGUUACUUUCUCCCCUUCCUCCUGUGAGUGACUUCUUAUCAGAUGAAGGCUGCACAGAAACCCUGUGACCAGCUGGCCCUGGGUCCCCGGAGGGAGUGGCUGUGUGCAAGCAGGAGUGGGAGGAGGGGCUCCUUCUUGGGACUCUCAAGUCCCCUCCCCACCGUCCAGCUCAUCUGUUGUCAUUCACUUCUCAGAUACAAUGAACUUUCAGAAAAGGAAGAACAUGUCUGAGUAGCUUCAUCCCAGCACACACCCAACACACAAGAGGUAUUCAGAUCCUCACAAAUGCUUGGCUACAAGGAUGAGAGAAGCCUCUCGUUAUGCCAGAAUUGUUGUGUGAGCCUCAGAGGAUGUCGCUUCUAUAAACACUUUCAAGGGUGCAUGUUAUGUUAUUGCGAGGCUGGCCCAUCAUGGAAAACAAAAACCCCCAAGGGCUGCGUGCAUUUUAUCUUGUUCAUUCAGAUUGUCAGCUCCUACCUGGUGCCCACUAUCUCAAGGAAUAGAUUCACCAUCUUCAACCCUCUUUCCUAAACUUGCUUUUAAUUAAUUUUCUAAAAUGGUACACCUUAUUGCAGACACUCAAAUUAGAAAACUAACAGAGAUUCUUGACUUUUCUUCUCUUUUAAAACCUCACAUGAUUCGUUACCAACUCGGUAAAUCCUGCCACUUUGAUAUUUCUCUGAAAUGCCUGCGCCCUCCUCAUCCAGCUCUGAACAAUUCCUGGGCCUCCUGCUGCAUUCUUUGACUCCAGUCUUUGGAGCACUCAUGCUAGACGGUGUCCUUCUGUGGCUCAGACCCUCUGCAGGUUACGUGUGCCUUUCAUUCGAGUCUAGAAUGGAGAACGUGCGCUCUCCUUAACACAGCUCACUGAUUUCCUCAGACCCCUUUGCUCCAUCCUCCUCAGCCCCCAGACUACUUGUCCGUCAUAACAAACUUCUUGUUUCCUGAAAACACCCACUAGCUUCUUUCUUGUUUUGUGCUGGUUGAAUGUCUCAAAGUGCGGGGGAGGAGUGAGCUCAAUGGGAUGUGGUGAAUAACGUCAUCCUGCUGGUCCUACCACUGCUGCUACAACUGACCAGAAAGCCGCCCAGACUGGGUAAACCCACUACCACUGAUACACCACGAAGGUCAUCGCAGCGUGGACUAUGUGAGCUUAAUACUGUCAGAAAUUUUGCAUCUCUACCAAAAAAAAAAGAAAACACAAAAAGAAAAAAUCUACACGUUAACUUCAGCCCUUACAGAUUUAAAAUAGCUUCAUCAAUAGAAAGCUAAUAAAGGUCAAAGCCCCAAACUGCACUGAAAAACCGCCAGUAAACUGUCUUGUCAAUUUCACAUUUCAGAUAAUUUUUACGACACUGUGAUACCGUGGACCUUAAAAUAUGAAUGCUCUCUUCCUCCAAACACCAACCGCCUACAUACUGCUUUUCUACAAACUUCCACCACACCCCAUACAUAAGAUAUAGGAAAAAGGAAUCCCCAAAACAAGUGUGGAUAAGACCAUUUGGCAUCUAACAUUAUCCUUGCAGGAUCAUCUCAAGCUUGAUUGGAGAGGCCCACAAUUCCAUGACUGACAGGUCUUUAGUAGGACAUUUAGCCCAGCUCACUGAACCAGGGAUAGGGUUCAGCAAGGUCAGGACCCCCUCUGUCAACAAUCAAAAGUUACUGCUUAUUAGCCAAUUUUAUAUUCAAUCUGGGAUGUUUUUUGA